rnacentral:rRNA from 1 species
CCUACGGGUGGCAGCAGUGGGGAAUAUUGGGCAAUGGGCGCAAGCCUGACCCAGCAACGCCGCGUGAAGGAAGAAGGCUUUCGGGUUGUAAACUUCUUUUAGCAGGGAAGAGUAGAAGACGGUACCUGACGAAUAAGCCACGGCUAACUACGUGCCAGCAGCCGCGGUAAUACGUAGGUGGCAAGCGUUGUCCGGAUUUACUGGGUGUAAAGGGCGUGUAGCCGGGUUGACAAGUCAGAUGUGAAAUCCUGCGGCUUAACCGCAGAACUGCAUUUGAAACUGUUGAUCUUGAGUACUGGAGAGGCAGACGGAAUUCCUAGUGUAGCGGUGAAAUGCGUAGAUAUUAGGAGGAACACCAGUGGCGAAGGCGGUCUGCUGGACAGCAACUGACGGUGAGGCGCGAAAGCGUGGGGAGCAAACAGGAUUAGAUACCCCAGUAGUA